rnacentral:rRNA from 1 species
UACGAAGGGGGCGAGCGUUGUUCGGAUUUACUGGGCGUAAAGGGCGCGCAGGCGGCGCAUUUUGUCAGGCGUGAAAGCCCCGGGCUUAACCUGGGAACUGCGUUUGAUACGGAUGGGCUAGAGUUCGGGAGAGGAGAGUGGAAUUCCCAGUGUAGAGGUGAAAUUCGUAGAUAUUGGGAAGAACACCGGUGGCGAAGGCGGCUCUCUGGACCGAGACUGACGCUGAGGCGCGAAAGUGUGGGGAGCGAACAGG